GGGGAUGUGGUCCAAUGGUAAGAUACUGUUGCGGGUGUGCCUGGCACGCCCAGGGAGACUCUCCCUGCAACGGUGAUACUGGUUCAAGUCCGGUCAUCUCCA